rnacentral:lncRNA from 1 species
AAAUAAACUUUAUCUCAAACAAAUAAUUAAAUUUUAAACGCAGAGCUAUAAGCGAUAAGCAGAGAGCUCGCAGCACCUAACUAUACUCAAUACUCAAAUAAUUUUUAAAAAGUUUAAAUCUACAAUGCAAUAAGUUACUACAGAAAUACCAGUUUUAAAAGUAGAAAAUCGUGUGAUCUGAAAAUAAAUGUUUAAUUCCGCAGAACUAGCAUGUCGUAGAAUUGGCAAUUUUUGUUUAAGGAUUCUUGAUGUUUUGUACAAUCGUCAUUUAUGAAUCUAUCUUAUUUAAAAAUUGAAAAACAUUUAAGAUAGUAUUAUUAUUUGACAUAUCAACUAUUGGUAGUUGAAAAAAUAUAUUUCAUGCUAUUUGCUACGAAGUCUGUACGACGAUAUAGUUGCUCAUGAUUAGAAGAAAAAAAAAACUAAGACAAGUUAUUGAAGUUUAUUUUCUUAAGAAAUUAGUUUCAGUAGAUUUAUAAAUUAAAAUAAAAACUCUGCACUUUUUUAUUAAAUUAUCCUAAUAAUUUAUAAUUGAAAACUGAUGUAAAUUUCUUAAAAUGCUUGAUAGAUUUAGGUCAAUACAAAUCAGUAGUAGGUUGGACAGUUCCUCCCUGAUUCUAAUUGCGCCAACUAUUAAUGAAAAGAUUUUUUCGUAUCUGUAAUUGUACUAAAAAAAAGAAGGGGAGAAAAAAGCUGUGCAGUGGCAUGUGAGAAACAACAAAAAAAUUAACAGAAAGGGACCAACGCCAAGGGUAACAUUUGUAGCCAUUAUAAAUGUAUUUUCAAAGAUUAUUUAUGAUUACAGGAAUUAAGAAGUUUAACUUGGUGAUUUUAGACGAAGCACGUUUGAAACAGAUACCAGUUAUGAAAAUGCCCUCCUCAACUCAAAGGUGCUAAAAUGCCACAGGCUAGUUCUUAUACUUGCAAAUAAUAUUUUGUUAAAAAAUACAUGGGUAAUAGUUUAAUAUUUGGUUGCUAUGAGUUUUAACUAGAAGAUUUCCACAUCGGGAUCUGUAGCAGAAUAAUCGUCAAGCCUUGGCAACAGCAACAAAAAAAAAAAAUACUAAAAGAACAUCAAAUCUGACUGAAAGUUGCCCACUGGUAAAUCUGUAUGUGCUUUUUUUUAAGAAAUAAAAAAAUAGCAAAUUUAAAAUCUAUUUAAUGUCUUAUCGAUUGUAGCUGGUGCGACAGAUUACGAUAGGGAAAUAUACGUUUUACCCUUCACAUUCAAUCCAUUACUGUAUAUUUAUUUUUUAGUUUCAAACGUGUCUCGCCAGGUUGUUGGCAGAAUUUAGAGGGCAUUUUUGCUAAGUUUAAAAUUUUCACUCAUAAAGUAUCUUCCUUUUAUAAAUAUCAUGAAUGAAAUUAUUAAGUUCUUACCAGAUUAAUUGAUAAGUUUUUAAUAUUAUUAAAACAAAAGAUAGUCAUUACUUGAUGAAUAAAUAAGUAAUUAAAGGUACAUAGCAUAGCAAUGUAUAAGGAUUCGUGAUAUUGUUAACUUUAUAAUUCUCUAUUUCAGAUAUUGAAGUACUUAGAAUAUCAUUCUAAAAAGAAAGCAUAAACUAUAUGAGCUAGCUUCAGUAUUUGAAUCUUGGAAUUAUCCAAUCAUUUAAAGAGCGCUACCCUAAACAACUGGUUAGGUUUCUUGGACACUUAUGACUCUUCCAUUCCAUAUAAUAAAAGAUCUAACUGGAGACGAUCUGAAGAUCCUAGUAAGAAAUAUAAAUGUACAUUAUGUAAAUACACCACCGAUAUGGCCAAAGAUCUUAAACGACAUUUUCUUACUCACACUCAAGAGAGACAAUUUGAGUGCACGGUCUGUGGUAAAAGGUUUAUUUUGGCUCAUCAUUUGAAGAAACACUUGAAAAGUGUGCAUUUUCAACUUGUUUAAUGUAUGUACUUAUCUAUAUAUUCCCUCUCAUGGUUUAUUUUAAUAAAAAGGAAUUCCACUUUAA